UACGAGGGGGGCAAGCGUUGUCCGGAAUUAUUGGGCGUAAAGAGCUCGUAGGCGGUUUGUCGCGUCUGCCGUGAAAGCCCGGGGCUUAACGCCGGGUCUGCGGUGGAUACGGGCAGACUAGAGGCAGGUAGGGGAGAACGGAAUUCCCGGUGUAGCGGUGAAAUGCGCAGAUAUCGGGAGGAACACCGGUGGCGAAGGCGGUUCUCUGGGCCUGUACUGACGCUGAGGAGCGAAAGCGUGGGGAGCGAACAGG
rnacentral:rRNA from 1 species